AUUGAACGCUGGCGGCAGGCCUAACACAUGCAAGUCGAACGGUAACAGGAAGAAGCUUGCUUCUUUGCUGACGAGUGGCGGACGUGUGAGUAAUGUCUGUGAAACUGCCUGAUGGAGGGGGAUAACUACUGGAAACGGUAGCUAAUACCGCAUAACGUCGCAAGCCCAAAGAGGGGGACCUUCGGGCCUCUUUCCAUCGGAUGUGCCCAGAUGGGAUUAGCUAGUAGGUGGGGUAACGGCUCACCUAGGCGACGAUCCCUAGCUGGUCUGAGAGGAUGACCAGCCACACUGGAACUGAGACACGGUCCAGACUCCUACGGGAGGCAGCAGUGGGGAAUAUUGCACAAUGGGCGCAAGCCUGAUGCAGCCAUGCCGCGUGUAUGAAGAAGGCCUUCGGGUUGAAAAGUACUUUUAGCGGGGAGGAAGGGAGUAAAGUUAAUACCUUUGCGCAUUGACGUUACCCGCAGAAGAAGCACCGGCUAACUCCGUG
rnacentral:rRNA from 1 species